CCUUAACUCUGGAGAUCUGUCUUUGCCUUCAACUGUUCCUGCUUAUUUGGCCCUAGAAAUGCAUGCUUUCCUGACUGUGUUCCUUCAAGGGCUCCACCCUGAGGCUGGAGUGCAAUGACAUGAUCUCAGCUGACUGCAACCUCUGCCUCCCCGGGUUCAAGCCAUUCUCCUGCCUCAGCCUCCUGAGCAGCUGGGAUUACAGUUUAUAAUCAGAUAUAAGUCUCUUGGGGAAUCUGACCUCAUACCUCAUCUACACAGUUCCUGUACGAGGUUCCUGACCUGUGACCCUGCACUUGAUGGAUCAGCUGACACCACCCAGAAGGAUAAACUGUCUCAUCUGACUUGUGGCCUCCACCCAGGAUCUGACUCAGUGAAAGAAGACAGCUUUGACUCCCUGUGAUUUCAUUUCUGACCAAUCAGUGCUCCCAGCUCACUGGCUUCUCCCGCACCCACCAAGUUUUCCUUAAAAAUUCUGCUCACCAAAUGCUCAGGAACAUUG